UGGGGAAUUUUGGACAAUGGGCGCAAGCCUGAUCCAGCCAUGCCGCGUGUAUGAAGAAGGCCUUCGGGUUGUAAAGUACUUUUGUCAGGGAAGAAAAGCCUGGGGAUAACACCCUCAGGUCAUGACGGUACCUGAAGAAUAAGCACCGGCUAACUACGUGCCAGCAGCCGCGGUAAUACGUAGGGUGCGAGCGUUAAUCGGAAUUACUGGGCGUAAAGCGAGCGCAGACGGUUAUUUAAGCAAGAGGUGAAAGCCCCGGGCUCAACCUGGGAACUGCGUUUUGAACUGGGGAGCUAGAGUGUGUCAGAGGGGGGUAGAAUUCCACGUGUAGCAGUGAAAUGCGUAGAGAUGUGGAGGAAUACCGAUGGCGAAGGCAGCCCCCUGGGAUAACACUGACGUUCAUGCUCGAAAGCGUGGGUAGCAAACA
rnacentral:rRNA from 1 species